CCGGGGUCCUGGGAGCGUCUGUGGGACAGGUGAGAGACAGGUGAGAUGUGAUACAGGUGAGAUACAGGUGAGAUACAGGUGAGAUAUGGAGAGAGAAAUGAGAUACAGGUGAGAUACGGACACGUGAGGGCGGAGCAGGUGAGGCGCACCUGCUCACCGGCCAGCACCCAGAAUGUUCCAUUGAGCACAGGUGUGCGGGGGGCAUCUGUGGGACAGGUGAGAUGUGAUACAGGUGAGAUAUGGGACAGGUGAGAUGAGAUACAGGUGAGAUACAGGUGAGAUAUGGAGAGAGAAAUGAGAGAAAUGUGGGAUAUGGGCACCUGAGGGCGGAGCAGGUGAGGCGCACCUGCUCAC